CUUUGACAACUAAAUCAUAUUCAUGAUAGGUUUCAUCCAGAACCUCAUAGCCAAGCAAAAGCAUCUUGAAGCUGUUGAAUAUGCUUAUGCUUUUGAGCUAACAGGCCAUUUCCUACCAAUACCUAUUCUCAAAGACUACUUGAAACAAGUUAUGCAGAUUUCUGAGUGCGUUUGUAUUGGAGAAACGUGCUCAGUCAAAGAAAAGAAUGAAGCCAUUGAACAGAGUGUAGCUUCCAUUAAAGCUGUUAUCAGAUGCAUUAUGGAUCACGAGCUUCAAUCUCAAUACCCGCCUUCACAGCUUGAAGAGUGUAUAGAAUCUCUCACAAGGCAGAAGGCAGAUGUAACCGCAUCAUCUGUCAUUUCUGAGGCUCAGCUGAAACAGGUGGUAUCAAUUAGUCCAUCUGUCCCCACUGAUACCAAGACCCUCAGCUCUACCUCAUUCUCUGGAACGGCCUCCACUUGCAUGUUAGGUCAUUCUGAUGCUAUGGCUGCCAUCCUUGUGAGCAUGGGCGGAAAGAAUUUGCAGAAUUUUUUAUACAAUCAUUGGAAUGAGCAUGAGUUGUUGCGCAUUGAAAUAUCUAGAGCUCUCAAAAUGUCAUGUGACUCAGGAUUACUUGUAUUGGAAGCACUUGAAGGAUUUUAUACUCCAGAACCUCAUAAUGAAGAAAUUUUAUUUGAUCGUAGUGUUAUCAGGAAAAGUUGCAUUUCUACUGGAACAGUUGAUGAGGCUCUCACCAGAGAUUAAACCAAAAGCCAAACUGGAAGAACGCAAGCUUGCAUUUGACUGGAAAGCAAAGAUGAUAGCUGAAACAGAAAACUAUCUAGCAAUAUUGGGUUUUUUGCUUCUAGUAGGUGCCUAUGGCUUGGCAUCUUCCUUCGAUAAAUAUGAGCUUGAGAGUUUGUGCCACACUGUAGCACAGGAUGAGAAUGCAUAUCAGAAUUUCUGGGUAUUGCAGGAGAAAAUCCCCAGACUGAGAAAUCUAUGGAUCCCUCUAAAACUGAACCUCUUUGCGACAAUGUGGAAUUGAAAAGCAAGGCACGCGAUUUAACCUCUGCUUGUUCCUUAAGUUUUAUUCAUUGUGCAUCAGAUCCUGCAAAGGUUGUCUUAGAUGCAUUGCGGAAAUGUCGUUCUGCCAACUUGCGGAAGUGUAAAUAUGGCCCAUCAUCACUUAUGAAGAGGUUCUCUGAUUUGUUGGAACAUCUGAGAGAAGUUUCUCCAGAAAUAACAACUCAGGUUAAAAUAGAGGCAAUUGUGCUUGCUAUUGAGUGGCGAGAAACAUUGACCGGAUCGCAGCUGAAUCAUUCAGAGGUCAUUGGCUUUUUGCAACUUUUAGCUACUUUUGAAUUGUCAUCCUCUUAUGAUUCAGAUGAGCUUCUAGGUCUAUUGGAGAUUGUUUACCAGUCUAGAAGGGCAAUUAAUCUGUUCAAAAUCCAAAGAUUAGCAGAUAAGAUCCCAGGCAUGCUCUCUCUCUCUCUCUCAUGCAUAUGCACAUACAGACCAAGUAUGAUAACAGCUACUGGUUAUAGGAUCGUUGGAAUAUGAAAACGAGUGAAGGUUUCACACAAGGAUGUCAAAAAUACACAAAAAGAGCACGAAAAGGCAAAAAACAGAAAAGGCCAGGAACCAGGCUCCAGGCGAGGAAGCAGGCGACGCCUGGCUCCAAGCGAGGAAGCAGGCGACGCGAGCUCUAAUGCUCUUCCUCAGGUCAGGCCUCGCGAGCUCUGAGGCCUGGACACUUUUGCAGUCCAUGCAUUAAAUGUUUCCCACUUUGUUUUGUACUUGGUUACUCUGACCCUAGCCUAUAAAUACCCCCUAAAUGUGAUUAAUGAAGAGUUGGUCAAUUUUCAAAGGGGGCAAAGGCAUAGAAAUAAAAACGGAGCAUGGAAUUCAUUGAAUCUUCCAUCUUUCAUCUAGUAUUCAUAGCUUCUAUGUUUAAAAAUAAUACUUUGAUUAUUGUUAUGAACAUGAGUCGCUAAGAACCUUA